CGUAUACUUGUGUUUGUUGGGUGAACCACCACUCUCGAAAGAGAUGAAAAGAGGGGACGAGGAGAAGAGCGUUCUUGCAGCAUUGGAUGCUGGGAGGAAAGAGAAGUAGGCGAGUAAGGGUAGGCGAGGAGGGUGGUGGCGUCAACGGGGUGUGACUCGCAAAAGGAGGAAAUCUAUUGCCGGAAGUGAGUAUAUUCAAGCGGCAGUCUGCGGUGCGUGUAUGGAAAUUCGAGACCGCCCUACCACGAAAGGGUCCUUCCCGAAACCCAAGGGAAGCCGCACGCGACGACGAUUUGCUCGAAGAAGAAAAAAGAACGGAAAGACUGCAGAAGAAAAAGAAAAAGAAAAAGAAAAAGAAGGUAGAUAGGUUUGGAAGGGAAAGAGAAAACGAGCGCUGCUGUGCUCGGCGAUUUGUAGCGGAACGCCGUUGUGUUCCAUCCCUGAUUGUGCUUUUGCCAACGAUUGAUUUGUAGCGGAUAAACGGAAUUAGAAAUUGAGACACGAUCAUCCUGCCUUUAUUUUUUUGCUUACUACCUUUUUCUAUCUGGGGUGGUUUCUUAAAUCGGAAUUGAGAAAAUGUUCAUUGUGAUUAAUUAUCUGCAUACAUUUCAUUGUUAUAAAUGGAUUUUUCGCUGUCGUCGAAAAU